ACACUAAAAGUGAAUAAAGUUGGGGAAACGGCAGAGUAUAAGGAUACGUACAGAAGGCCUGUGGGGCUCGAGUGGGGAGAGAAAGUGCUGCAGGGAUUAAGUCUGAAGUAUAGUCUAUCUCCACGGGGUAAAUUGGGCAAGACAAAAUUCCUGAUACAUUAUUCGGGGUGGGGUUUGUUUCCUAAAGUUUAUCCCAGUGUGCAGGUCGAGUGGUUAAACCGGUCUGGAGGUGAGGGGUGCCGGAGAAGCUUCCGUUCCUUGCUGGCACGACUCCCAUUUCGGAUCUUUGACCGGAACCCUUCGCCACAGAUGGCCGAGCCCCAGCAGGCCCUGAAUCAUCGAGCCGGGUCUUCUGAUUCCCCCGACGGUGCCUCUUCCACUGGACCGAAAUCCAUUUAGGACAGUGCCUGACACAGAGUAAGCGCUGAACAAAUACCAUGGAGAAAAAACUAAAGGAGACCGGAAGAGAAUUCUCGGGAAAAUCAAGGUUAGUGUCGAAAAUAGCCACCUGAGAGACCAAGGAGGAUGUGGUAGGUCGCUCUGCACAGGGUAACCGUUUUUAAAAUACCACUGAUUUGGGCAGAGGAGCUGACGGUCGCAGGUGGUGGGGAAAUGAGGGUUUAG